AGGGCAUUUGGUGGAUGCCUUGGCAUAUGAAGGCGAUGAAGGACGUGGUAAGCUGCGAUAAGCCUCGGGAAGGUGCAAACAACCAUCAAUCCGGGGAUUUCCGAAUGGGAGAACCCCUCUACCGUAAUGGGUAGAGACUGCUGUCUGAAUAUAUAGGGCAGUAAGAGCCAACGCAGUGAAGUGAAACAUCUCAGUAACUGCAGGAAAAGAAAACAACCGUGAUUCCCAAAGUAGCGGCGAGCGAACUGGGAAGAGCCUAAACCGAUAUUGUGUCAUGACUGUCAUCUUAGCAGUAUCGGGGUUGCGGGAAGUGGUCGGAAGGUCUGGCAGGACCCUCGGCGAGUCAGAAAACUUUUGUUUAGGAGAAUUGAAUCAGGAAAGGUUCAGCCAUAGAGGGUGAUAGCCCCGUAUCUGAAAAACAAAAGUCUCGCUGGAUCAUUUUCUCAAGUAGAGCGGAACACGAGAAAUUCCGUUUGAAUCUGCCAGGACCACCUGGUAAGGCUAAAUACUCUCAUAUGACCGAUAGUGUAUUAGUACCGUGAGGGAAAGGUGAAAAGAACCCUGUGAGGGGAGUGAAAUAGAACCUGAAACCGAAUGUCUACAAGCUGUCGAAGUCCGCAAGGACGACGGCGUGCCUUUUGCAUAAUGAGCCAGCAAGUUACUCGUAUCUAGCGAGGUUAAAUCUAUAGGGAUGGAGCCGUAGGGAAACCAAGUCUGAAUAGGGCGCUUAGUUAGAUGCGGUAGACGCGAAACCGAGUGAUCUUACCAUGGCCAGGUUGAAGCAACAGUAAAAUGUUGUGGAGGACCGAACCGACCUGGGUUGAAAACCGGGCGGAUGAGCUGUGGUAAGGGGUGAAAGGCCAAUCAAACUCGGUGAUAUCUCGUUCUCUCCGAAAUGCGUUUAGGCGCAGCGUUAUGAUAAAGUAUCAUGGAGGUAGAGCACUGAAUGGGCUCGGGCCCUUAUCAGGGUACCAACCCCUAUCAAACUCCGAAUUCCAUUGAUAUGUUUCGUAGCAGUGAGGCAGUGGGUGAUAAGAUUCAUUGCCGAGAGGGAAACAACCCAGACCUACAGCUAAGGCCCCUAAAUUUUUACUAAGUGAUAAAGGAUGUAGAUUAGCACAGACAGCUAGGAGGUUGGCUUAGAAGCAGCCAUUCCUUUAAAGAAAGCGUAACAGCUCACUAGUCAAGGUAAUCUGCGCCGAUAAUCUCCGGGACUCAAGUAAAAUGCCGAAGCUUAGGAUUUCCGAUUUAUCGGAAGUGGUAGGAGAGCGUUCCAUCAACCGUCGAAGGCUGACCCGGGAGGGCAGCUGGAGGAAAUGGAAAUGAGGAUGCUGGCAUGAGUACGCGAUAAAACACGUUAAAUUCGUGUUCACCGUAAGCCCAAGGUUUCCUGAUCAAUGUAAAUCAGAUCAGGGUUAGUCGGCCCCUAAGGCGAGGCCGAAAGGCGUAGUCGAUGGAAAUCAGGUAACUUCUGAAUAUUCCUGAACCUCCGACCCUUAAACCGGGACACCCAUCUUCCAGACCUGUUUGUCUUAUUGAUUUGAUACUCAGGAGUAAGAGGUGGCAAGAAAAAGCCCGGUGUAUGCUAAGGAGACCGUACCGUAAACCGACACAGGUAGGCGAGGAGAGAAUCCUAAGGUGCUUGAGAGAAUUCUGGUUAAGGAACUCGGCAAAAUCGCCCCGUAACUUCGGGAUAAGGGGUGCCUUCAUUUAUGAAGGCCGCAGUGAAAAGGGGGUAGCGACUGUUUACUAAAAACAUAGGUCUAUGCUAACACGUAAGUGGAAAUAUAUGGACUGACACCUGCCCGGUGCUGGAAGGUUAAGAUACUUUGUCAUUCAGACUUGUCUGAAGAAGCUCGGUGUUGAAGCCCCAGUAAACGGCGGCCGUAACUAUAACGGUCCUAAGGUAGCGAAAUUCCUUGUCGGGUAAGUUCCGACCUGCACGAAUGGUGUAACGACUUCCCCACUGUCUCGACCAGAAACUCAGCGAAAUUGUAAUGUCGGUGAAGAUACCGGCUAACCAUAGAAGGACGGAAAGACCCCGUGAACCUUUACUAUAGCUUGAUAUUGGCUUUUGAUUCUGUAUGUGUAGGAUAGGUGGGAGACUUUGAAGCCCUGAUGCUAAUCAGGGUGUAGUCAUCCUUGAAAUACCAUCCUUGCAUCAUUGAAAGUCUAACCGUGAUCCGUUAUCCGGAUUCGGGACAUUGUCUGGUGGGUAGUUUGACUGGGGCGGUCUCCUCCCAAAAUGUAACGGAGGAGCCCAAAGGUCACCUCAGCACGGUCGGUAAUCGUGCGUAGAGUGCAAACGCAUAAGGUGGCUUAACUGCGAGACCGACAGGUCAAGCAGAUGCGAAAGCAGGGGUUAGUGAUCCGGCGGUCCCGUGUGGAAGGGCCGUCGCUAAUCGGAUAAAAGGUACUCCGGGGAUAACAGGCUUAUCUCCCCCAAGAGCUCAUAUCGACGGGGAGGUUUGGCACCUCGAUGUCGGCUCGUCGCAUCCUGGGGCUGGAGAAGGUCCCAAGGGUUGGGCUGUUCGCCCAUUAAAGUGGCACGCGAGCUGGGUUUAGAACGUCGUGAGACAGUUCGGUCCCUAUCCUCUAUGGUCGUAGGAAAUUUGAGGGAAUCUGCUUCUAGUACGAGAGGACCGAAGUGGACGAACCUCUAGUGUACCUGUUGUUGCAUCAGCAGCAUUGCAGGGUAGCUACGUUCGGCAGGGAUAAGCGCUGAAAGCAUAUAAGCGCGAAACCCAUCCCAAGAUAAGAUUUCCCUUCCCACCUCGGUGGGACUGAAGACUUCCAGUAGAAUACUGGUUUGAUAGGUCACAGAUGUAAGUGCAGUAAUGUACUCAGUCGAGUGAUACUAAUUAGUCGUGAGACUUAAUC
rnacentral:rRNA from 1 species